rnacentral:rRNA from 1 species
CUGACGACCGGCGCACGGGUGAGUAACGCGUAUGCAACCUGCCUAUAACUGGGGAAUAGCUCCCUGAAAGGGGAAUUAACACCGCAUAACACUAUUGAUUCGCAUGGAUUGGUAGUUAAAUGUAGCGAUACAGGUUAUAGAUGGGCAUGCGUGACAUUAGCUAGUUGGUGAGGUAAUGGCUCACCAAGGCGACGAUCAGUAGCCGACCUGAGAGGGUGAUCGGCCACACUGGAACUGAGACACGGUCCAGACUCC